CUCAUUGACGUUACCCGCAGAAGAAGCACCGGCUAACUCCGUGCCAGCAGCCGCGGUAAUACGGAGGGUGCAAGCGUUAAUCGGAAUUACUGGGCGUAAAGCGCACGCAGGCGGUUUGUUAAGUCAGAUGUGAAAUCCCCGGGCUCAACCUGGGAACUGCAUCUGAUACUGGCAAGCUUGAGUCUCGUAGAGGGGGGUAGAAUUCCAGGUGUAGCGGUGAAAUGCGUAGAGAUCUGGAGGAAUACCGGUGGCGAAGGCGGCCCCCUGGACGAAGACUGACGCUCAGGUGCGAAAGCGUGG
rnacentral:rRNA from 1 species